AGCAACCUGGUGGACUGGUGGUGAACUGAUGACAGACAGUAGUAGUACCAGCAGGCGUCGAAUCCACGGCGGUAGGGGAGAGGGAAGAGUAGCCUGUACUGAAUACUGAUGGCUGGUGAGUCAUGAGUAGCGUAGUGAGAAGCUCAGCUGCUGGUAGAGCAGAGCAUGAAGCUGAAGCUGCAACUCAAGAGUCAGCUUCUCAGAGUUUCAGAAAGCCGCCCACGCGAUGGCGGUGGCACUACUGACACGACGGAGUAUUAAAAAGGGAAGCUCGGCGAGGCAGACAGCGCUGACGCUGAGCAAGCCCCGUCCAGUCAAACUAGGCAGAGGCAGGUAGCCUCGUCGUGCCGUCAGAGCCCACCGCCACCGAUCCCCACCAUGGGCUCCGACGCAUGGAUGGCGGACGCCGCCCGCAGAUGGCUGGAGGACGCCGGCGCCACGGUGGAGGGCGGCCCCGACCGGGCCUUCAACGCGCUGCCGCUCUCCGGCGUGCGCGUGUCCCUCGCCGAGCGGGGCCGCGCCGUCUGCUCGCUCCGCGUGCCGGCGCACCUCACCGACGCGGAGGGGAACUGGCACACGGGCGCUAUCGCCGCGGCGACGGACGACGUCUGCGCCGCCGCCAUCAUGUCCGUCGAGGGUAUCAUCAAGGUCUCCGUCCACUACGACAUCUCCUACUUCGCACCGGCCAAGCUCCAUGAGGAAGUUGAGAUGGACGGCAGGGUGGUGGAGCAAAAAGGGAGGAUGACGGCGGUGACGGUGGAGAUCCGGAAGAAGGAGUCCGGCGAGCUGGUGGCGAUCGGGAGGCAGUGGAUGACAGCGUCCAGGCCUAGAGGGUCUCGGAGCAAGAUCUGACGCCUCAUCUAUCAUCUCUGCCUGACCCUGAAACGGGUGUUGAGUUACUAAACUAGCAGCUGUGAGCUCGGCUCAAGGAAACUGCCGGGAAUUUGCCGCGCUCUGGUUUUCACACUCUGAAAAGUGAAAACGGGAUAAAUGACCGGCUUAUUAUGCAGAGUGCGACACCGAUGUCGAACUUGUCCGCGUCGCCGACGGCGUGGAAGGCGUCGAGGACGGCGCCCAGGGACGACUUCUCUGGUGACGCAGCUCUCCGGCAGUGGCGGUCCUCCCAGAUGCACCGGAGCAGGAUGCGCAUGGCGGCCAGCCUCUCGUCCACCUGCUCGGCUUCCAGGCUCGCGGCGACUCUCCGUAUGAACCUCUCUGACAGCAGCGCGGAGCUCGGCACCGGCGACAUGGAGCUGCCCGUGCCGCCGUCGACGAGGAUCUGACUGAGGAGGAUCACCGCAGCAGGGAGCACGAGUGGCGAAGGUGCGGGGAACAGGGGCACCGGCUAGGCAGAGAAUCUCGACGGGGGAUCCCGGAAUGGAUGACCCUGGGGCCAGCGGAGGUCGCCGGAGACGAGCCCGCUGCUCCGGCGGCAGCCCAAGGAUAUUUACAAAAUACCCCCUCCAAACCAGGGGCUUUAUGCAAAUACCUGAUCGAAUAUGUUUCGGAAACCCCCCUGAUUCGGAUCGCGAUUAGUAGUCGCGAUCCAAAUUAGGGGUCCGUUUGUAAAUUUUGCAAUAUGUAUUUUCGGCUA